AAAAACAAUCACACUUCUACACGUUAAUACCUCCACUUCGAUCAGUGUAUGCCGUUCUCAGUUUUAUUUUUAUUUCUUUCGGUCUUGUUUUCAUGAAGAUAAUCUUCUAACUUUUGCAACCCUUUCCUGCAACAACAAUUUGGCAGAAGAACUCCCAAAAUUCAAUUCCUCAAGGUUUUACCUUUCACCUCCUUUACUUGUUUCUUUAUAUUCAACAUCACAGCAGGAUAAAUUCACAAACGAAUAUACACACAUUCAUUAAAGCACCAGUAAAUUCAUCACAUCAUUUUUUUUGUAAAGAUUGUAAAAACGAACUUUUUUAAGUUGUGUAUACAAAUGAAAAUACAAGUUAUUGUAUAUUAAGAAAGCAUGAAAAUUUCGAACUUGAGCUUGGAUUGUUGAAUGUUGAUUAUUGGGGGUGUACUUGCUGUGUGUGAGUCGAGAGGUCGAGGGAGGCAGGGGCACGGCGGCUGUGCCGCUGCUGCUCGGCCACGGUUGGAGAGAAGGAGGUGGGCUGGUCGGAGCUGGUCUGGGUGGAGGGUUGAGCGGAGAACGACGGCGGCGGUGGUGGCAGUUUGGUGGCUGCUACUCGCUGGGAAUUUGAGGGCGGCGAUGGCGGUACCAUCGGCCAAGGUUGAGCCGAGGAGAGGGAGGAGCGUCGGCGGCGGCUCAGCUGCUGCCGAUCAGACCCCAGGAGAGAGAGAGAUGGGAGACGGAGUCACCGGUCGGCGGCGGCUUUUGCUGCUGCAGUCGCCGGAAGGAAAGAGAAUGGAGGGGUCGAGGGUGAUGGUGAGGAUGACAGAGCGGCGCUCGUCGCCGGGGAUGGUGGUACGCAGCCGUGAAGUCCGAGAGAGAGGGAGAAGAGGAGGGGCGUCGAGAGAGGGGCGGCGUGUGUUGGUUUGUGUGUGUGGGGGCAACCUUGAGUGAAAUAAAGUCGAGGGAGUCGGGAGAGGGGUGACCGGCGACGCCUACCGCCGGAGGAGAGAAGAGGGCGAAGGGGGGUGCCUUGCAGCGCAGCUGCUGUGUGCUGUGUGCGUGUGUUUGUUUUGUGUGUGUUCUGAAUGUGUGUGUGCGUGUGAUUAAGAGAGGGAGGAGAAAGGUAAUAGGGUUUGGGGUUUUGGGCCUGGAUUGUUGAGCUUUGGCUAUUGGGCCGGAAAAUGGAGAAGGAAAGAGUGAAUGGGCUUAAGUUGUUGGGUCGAUUUUUAAUUUUAUUUAGCUGGGCCCGAUUUAUUUUAUUCAGUCUGGGCCAUUCCUAUUUUAUUGAGUUGGGCCUCAUCUUUUAAUUGGUAUGGGCUAUUAUUUAUUUAAGCAUGGGCUCUAUUUCAUCUAUUUAAAUGGCUUCCUUUAUUUUAUUUUAAUUAAUAGACUAAUAAUUAGUUUGAUUAAUUUAUUUUAAAGAAGAUUUGCAUAAUAAUAUAUAUUAUUAUUAUGUGCAUAUUUUAAGUAAAUUACUUAUUAUAUGCUUAAGUAUGAAAUGAUGCAUAUGCAUUUGCAUCAUGAUUUAAUUGGUUUUUAUUAUAAUUCCAAUUAUUAAAGAAAGUCGAGUAAGAAUAUUGUUGGUGUUCUUAACUCAAGAGAAUUGUUUUCAAUUAUUUAUUCAUUAAAUUUUGAAAACCCGGCUAAGUGAAUCAUAGAAUAUUAAGCACUACACCAUGACUUAAGAUUAGAUUCAAGAGACCUAUUAAGAAUAGAUUUCUUGUAGGCUUUGAGCAUCAGGAGGAUUAGCACUGCUAUUCCGAUUCAGAUAUAAGGUUAAACGACAGGCUUUGCCUAACAGGUGGGCUUACUUUCCAAAUGUACAAAGUAUGAUUGAGUUAUUAAGCUCUAAAUGUUUCAAUGAAAUGCAAAUUGUUUAUUUAAUGUAAUGAAAACUGUUUAUCCAAUAAAAUGUUUUGUGCACUCUGCUCUGUUUAAGGCUCGCAUAAUGAAUCGAUCGAGGUUCUCUUAUGACCUAACACGUUAUUUGAGAAUUGUGUACACCUAUUAGCUGACUCGGUGGGUUGAUCUCCAUCGGGCACUAAUCAUGUAUGAGGCGUUAUAAGGGUGCUCGACGGGAUGUGUUCCGGAGCAUUGGGUCCCAAAUGGGAACUUGUCUGGGUUACGCCCUCAGUUCAAGUGCAAUGGGAGAAAUGGAUCCGUCGGUGGCUAAAAGGUCCGGGAUCACAGCGAGUAACAGAAAGGGAGUGUGACAUGUGCGCACAAAUGAAAAAUAUUUUAACAUGCUUAGAAGUUCUUUCAUUUUAAAACCUUCUAAGUCAUGUCAAGUAUAAUUGGAUAAACUGUCUUUACGAAAAUAUGAAAUGUUUAUGAAAAUGCAUGCCCACUAAGUACAUUAGUACUUAGCCCAAAAAUACUUUCAAAUGUUUUCAGGUUGGCUGGCUGGUGCUGACGGGACGGAGCUGAGGCUAGAGUUAAAAUUCAUAUGUUAGACUUCCGCUGUAGCAAUUACUCUUAUACAUCUUUUGUUUUCUCAACUUAAGAUGACUUCAUGUC
rnacentral:lncRNA from 1 species